AAGGAUACGAGAUAUAUUAGGGUAAAAGAGCUCUUGGCUAUGGGGAAAUAACAUUUAUUCGAAGGGAGUGACUAGGGCUUUGGAUGCGCCGACAGUGAAGCACUCUUCAAUUUAAGCUUAAGAUUUUGAUCGUUCAGAGGCUCUACGCGAAGGGAAGGCAUUGGUUUAAUUGUUCGUGACACUCGCUCGGCAUCGAGAGUACGAUCCAGGUUCCAGUUCUACACCCCGUGGCUGAUGCGCGAGGGUGAUAUCUUUCAGUCAUUCAGGGUGAGCUACUUGGUCGUCUGUGGCCCCUGAAGGACCUCCUCUAUUUAUUUCUGUUUUUGUAUUCGACAGACAAUAUGUAGCCUUCGGGUAUUUUCAGACUUCUAUUCCGUACCAUGUUAGCGCUCUUGUACCCUUUGACCACUUUUUCGGGGUUGUCGUGACAUUUCUAGUUAUGAUAAGUAUUUAAGACU